rnacentral:rRNA from 1 species
AUUAGUGGCGAACGGGUGAGUAACACGUGAGUAACCUGCCCUUAACUCUGGGAUAAGCCUGGGAAACUGGGUCUAAUACCGGAUAGGAGCGCCUACCGCAUGGUGGGUGUUGGAAAGAUUUAUCGGUUUUGGAUGGACUCGCGGCCUAUCAGCUUGUUGGUGAGGUAAUGGCUCACCAAGGCGACGACGGGUAGCCGGCCUGAGAGGGUGACCGGCCACACUGGGACUGAGACACGGCCCAG